rnacentral:rRNA from 1 species
AUACGGAGGAUCCGAGCGUUAUCCGGAUUUAUUGGGUUUAAAGGGUGCGCAGGCGGCCAUUUAAGUCAGCGGUUAAAUCGUGGGGCUCAACCCCAUUCUGCCGUUGAUACUGGGUGGCUUGAUUGCGGUCGAGGUUGGCGGAAUUCGUUGUGUAGCGGUGAAAUGCAUAGAUAUUACACAGAACGCCGAUUGUGAAGACACCUCACGAAGCGGUAACUGACGCUGAGGCACGAAAGCGUGGGGAUCGAACAGGAUUAGAUACCCUGGUAGUCCACGCAGUAAACGAUGAUGACUAACCGUCGGCGAUAGACCGCCGGUGGCCAAGCGAAAGCGAUAAGUCAUCCACCUGGGGAGUACGACCGCAAGGUUGAAACUCAAAUGAAUUGACGGGG